UGGGGAAUUUUGGACAAUGGGCGAAAGCCUGAUCCAGCAAUGCCGCGUGUGUGAAGAAGGCCUUCGGGUUGUAAAGCACUUUUGUCCGGAAAGAAAUCCUUGGCUCUAAUACAGUCGGGGGAUGACGGUACCGGAAGAAUAAGCACCGGCUAACUACGUGCCAGCAGCCGCGGUAAUACGUAGGGUGCAAGCGUUAAUCGGAAUUACUGGCGUAAAGCGUGCGCAGGCGGUUUGCUAAGACCGAUGUGAAAUCCCCGGGCUCAACCUGGGAACUGCAUUGGUGACUGGCAGGCUAGAGUAUGGCAGAGGGGGGUAGAAUUCCACGUGUAGCAGUGAAAUGCGUAGAGAUGUGGAGGAAUACCGAUGGCGAAGGCAGCCCCCUGGGCCAAUACUGACGCUCAUGCACGAAAGCGUGGGGAGCAAACAGGAUUAGAUACCCUGGUAGUCCACGCCCUAAACGAUGUCAACUAGUUGUUGGGGAUUCAUUUCCUUAGUAACGUAGCUAACGCGUGAAGUUGACCGCCUGGGGAGUACGGUCGCAAGAUUAAAACUUAAAUGAAUUGACGGGGUCAUAGCUGUUUCCU
rnacentral:rRNA from 1 species